UUCAGUCUGUCUCAGAUAUUUUUGGAUAUCAGGACACAUAUGAUGCAUAGCAAAGACAGGCAUGCAGUUUUAGGAGAAGCUAAAAUGUGGUGGCUCACGCUCUGAUGAAAAACUGAAGAGAAGAUGAGAAGAUGAUGCCUCCUCUGAGGACUACCAAACAACCACAGCCAGAUUUUCACUUCUGCAAGAUCACCUAACCCCAUCAGACUUCUAUCAAAACAAAAAAGGAGGACCCAUGUAUGUUCACAGACUGAGAAAUAAGUCACCUUCAUGUCAUGCCACCACAUUCUGGAUCUAUCAGUUAUUUCAAAGAUAGAGAAGUUCCUCAGAUUACAUCCUGUCCAGCAAAUCACUUCAGCUCGUCUUUAAGCCGCUGAGCCGAUCAGUAGGACGAUUUCCUGCUUACAGUUGGUCACCAGCACCUCUGCAAGCCCAAAGGGCAGGUCAGCAGCCACUGGAUCAAUCUCUGACCAAGUCCCUGUCUGCCUAGACUCUGUCACCACUGACAAUCUGAAUGUCCCCCAAACUUCUGCCAUUUGUUAUUUAUUAAUAAUGCUGCUUGGUGUCUUUUUUUUGCUUUGACUUGUUAUUGACUUAUCAGUGCCUCCUUAUUGACUUAUCAGUGUCUCCUGUAUAGAUGAGUUGUAGUACUUAUGGUGCAGAUACAGAGACUGAAAUACCAUCAAUUACUUCCUUCACAAUAUAUAAAAAGAUAUAUAGACAUAGAUAUAUGAUAAAUAAGAUUCAUGCAUUACAUAGAGGCUUGUCCUGAAAUUGCCCUCAAGACCACCUGGAGGCACAUUUACCUUGCAGUUAGUGUGAGAGAAAGGCAAACCCUAGGGAGUAAAAUCCAGCUCACUACAGACAGGUGAGAGACCACUUCAAGUCAGUAAUUAGGAGAUAGAGAUACAAAAUUGUGUUGUCUCUUCAUGCAGCACUUGAAGCAAUGUCAGCUCAACUGCAUGGAGUCACUGUGCAGAGCUUGACUCAGUCACCUGAGCUGAGAUUUUACAGAUGAUGCUCAGCAUAGAGUGAAAAUGUUAUAACCAACUAGAACACCCCUUCCCAGGAGCAUCCUUCUCUGGGGAAAUAAAGCCUAAUCCUCACCAGCUGUAUGUGCCAGUGCUGCUCUCUCAAAGGAAGAGGGUUGCCCAUCCACGGCAGGGGUGACUAGAAAGACCACAGGGAGCAGUAGAGAGAUGUGAGCAUGAAAAUAUUUUGUGUUGGAUAUGAUUACAUUCAUCCAUAAAAUUAGUAACAACACAGACACCUGGUAGUUAUGUUUCAUGGCCUAAUAAAUAUGUUUAAGGGCAGAAAGCCUUUACUCUGACCUCCUGCAUAGAAUCAGUCCGUGCUAUAUGAUUGUCUAGAGUUUAGCUCCCAGCUUUCACUGGGGACUCACAGGUUAUUAUAGUGGGAUGAACUCUGCUGUGACCACUUAGAUCUGAGACCCUUGAGAACAUGCCAGAGCUGAACACAAUGGGGUGAGUCCCCUUACAAUGAGUUGUAAUUGCAGACGCUGGGUGGUGGUAUUGUAGUCUUGAAAACAUUUGUGUUUGCUCAUGGUUUUGACAGAUGUUGAACUUUGCAGAAGAGUGAGAGAGGGACGGGUUUGUAGGAUGCAAAGAGCACGUACACACGUUUGAGAAUUGCUGUGGCGGGUACACAUGGCCACAGAGGAAAGAAGCAGUGUAAGCAGCAAGACAAGAGAUUGCCAGCAUUUCCUAUGGGAUUCAGUUGCUGAGAACCUCUUCAGAAGAGGUUUGGGGUGAUUUUUCCUCUUAGUAUGCUAACCAUGAUCUGCUCUUAUUCAGGGCUGUCUUGUUCAUAUUGUGAAUAUACAGAUCUCCAGGUAUAGGAUGCCUAAAGCCAAGGUUACUGCUUCUCCUUUAGCGGAGAGCAGAGGCACAGAGCCCUGAGGAAUCUGCUACUUCAUGCCAGGAGGCAGACCACAGAUGACAGAUCUACUGGUAGGAGGCUGCCUUUUGUGCAGCUCCAUAAGCACAUAAAUUCUGUCUCUAUCUUUUAAAACAAAACAUUAUUAGAGAUAUAUGAACGUGUGAUAUCGGCACACCUGGCCUGGGUCUGGAGAGCCCAUGAAAUGUGUUAGACUUGUUAUUACUUGAUUAUUUCUUUGCACAGCUGUAUUUCCCUGCUCCCGAAUGCUUAUGAAAUGUCUCUGCUGAUGUAUGGAGACUCACAGCACUGAAGGCUAGAGAAAGCCCCUUGAUAUAUUACAACUCAUUGUGCGUCACUGCAUUAAA